AGUUUUUUGGUUUUUUAUAAAAAAUGUUUUCUGCUCAGUGAUUUUAAACAGCCGCGGUAUUUUGACCGUGCAAAGGUAGCAUAAUCAUUUGCCUUAUAAUUGAGGGCUAGUAUGAAUGGGAGUACAAAAGGUUUUCUUUAUUUUUAGAAUAGAUGUAAUUUGCUUUUUUAGUGAAGAAGCUAAAGUUUAAUUAAAGGACAAGAAGACCCUUUUGAGUUUUAUUUUUUUCAUUUGUUUUUUAAUUUGAUAAAAUUUGGUUGGGGCGACCGAGGAAGAAUUUAUCUUCCUUGAUUUAUUUGGAUCCAUACUUUUUGAUUAAUAGAUUAAAUUACCAAAGGGAUAACAGCGUUAUUUUUUUUGAGAGUUCUUAUUGAAAAUGAAGAUUGCGACCUCGAUGUUGACUUAUGAUUUCCUUUUGAUGUAGCCGUUUUAAGGGUAGGUCUGUUCGACCUUUAAAAUCUU
rnacentral:rRNA from 1 species